AUAUACAACUAACACUGUAUUUAAAACAGAAAACUAUGGCCUGGGGCUGGAGUCUGGGGUGGCAACUGGGAGCGUGUCGGCGCGGGGAAGGGGAGUCUCUCCCGGCACGGACAUGGAUAUAGGUGCUAUUACAAAGCACUCAGCAUCACAUGCCAAGCCCAAUGGACUCAUUCUUCAAUAUGGGACUGCUGGAUUUCGAACGAAGGCAGAACAUCUUGAUCACGUCAUGUUUCGCAUGGGAUUAUUAGCUGUCCUGAGGUCAAAACAAACAAAAUCCACAAUAGGAGUCAUGGUAACAGCAUCCCACAAUCCUGAGGAAGACAAUGGUGUCAAACUGGUUGACCCUUUGGGUGAAAUGUUGGCACCAUCCUGGGAGGAACAUGCUACAUGUUUGGCAAAUGCUGAGGAACAGGACCUACAGAGAGUGCUUAUUGACAUCAGCAAGAAAGAAGCUGUGAAUCUGCAACAAGAUGCCUUCAUAGUUAUUGGUAGAGAUACCAGGCCCAGCAGUGAGAAACUUUCACAAUCUGUAAUAGAUGGCGUGACUGCUUUAGGAGGUCAAUUCCAUGAUUAUGGCUUGCUAACAACACCCCAGCUGCACUACAUGGUGUAUUGUCGAAACACCAGUGGCCGAUAUGGAAAGGCAACCACAGAAGGUUACUACCAGAAACUCUCUAAGGCUUUUUUGGAACUUACCAAACAGGCUUCCUGCAGUGGAGAUGAAUCUAGAUCGCUUAAGGUUGACUGUGCAAAUGGCAUAGGGGCCCUGAAGCUAAGAGAAAUGGAACACUACUUCUCACAGGGCCUGUCAGUCCAGCUGUUUGAUGAUGGGACCAAAGGGAAACUCAAUCAUUUAUGUGGAGCUGACUUAGUGAAGAGUCAACAGAAACCUCCGCAAGGCAUGGAAAUGAAGUCCAAUGAAAGAUGCUGUUCCUUUGAUGGAGAUGCAGACAGAAUUGUUUAUUACUACCAUGAUGCAGAUGGUCACUUUCAUCUCGUAGAUGGUGACAAGAUAGCAACGUUAAUUAGCAGUUUCCUUAAAGAGCUCCUGUUGGAGAUUGGAGAAAGUUUGAAUAUUGGUGUUGUACAAACUGCAUAUGCAAAUGGAAGUUCAACAUGUUACCUUGAAGAAGUUAUGAAGGUACCUGUGUAUUGCACCAAAACUGGUGUAAAACAUUUGCACCACAAGGCUCAAGAGUUUGACAUUGGAGUUUAUUUUGAAGCAAAUGGGCAUGGCACCGCACUGUUUAGUACAGCAGUUGAAAUGAAGAUAAAACAACUAGCAGAAGAAUUAGAAGAUAAGAAAAGAAAAGCUGCUAAGAUGCUUGAAAACAUUAUGGACUUGUUUAACCAGGCAGCUGGUGAUGCUAUUUCUGACAUGCUGGUGACUGAGGCAAUCUUGGCUCUGAAGGGCUUGACUGUACAACAGUGGGAUGCUCUCUACACAGAUCUUCCAAACAGACAACUCAAAGUUAAGGCUGCAGACAGGAGAGUUAUUAGCACCACAGAUGCUGAAAGACAAGCAGUUACACCCCCAGGACUACAGGAGGCAAUCAAUGACCUGGUGAAGAAGUACAAGCUUUCCCGAGCUUUUGUCCGGCCCUCUGGUACUGAAGAUGUUGUCCGAGUAUAUGCAGAAGCUGACUCUCAAGAAAGUGCAGAUAGCCUUGCACAUGAAGUAAGCUUGGCAGUAUUUCAGCUGGCUGGAGGAAUUGGAGAAAGACCCCAACCAUGUUUCUGAAGAUAAUUUUUAUAUUCCUGAGAAACUGGAUUGUUAAAAUUUUUUAUAAAACUGUCAGUAAUUAUAGCAAUACUAUGGUUAUAAUCAUGUUUACUAUGCAUCUUACUGGAUUGUUUCUAGAUCUGAUUGCUUUUCUUAAACACUACCAGAGUAAUUCUUUAGAAAUAUAUAAGUCUUAUUUGUUAAAGAAACUUACCUCUAAUUUCAGUCUCACUAAUGUAAAAUAUUAGGCUUAAGCAUAUGAUUCAAUCAUUAACUUUAUAGCUGUAUGCAGGGAACAAUUCAUGCAGGCUGCUGGAAAAUUAAAUCCUAUUAC